GUGGGGAAUCUUAGACAAUGGGGGAAACCCUGAUCUAGCCAUGCCGCGUGAGCGAUGAAGGCCUUAGGGUUGUAAAGCUCUUUCAGCUGGGAAGAUAAUGACGGUACCAGCAGAAGAAGCCCCGGCUAACUCCGUGCCAGCAGCCGCGGUAAUACGGAGGGGGCUAGCGUUGUUCGGAAUUACUGGGCGUAAAGCGCGCGUAGGCGGACCAGAAAGUUGGAGGUGAAAUCCCAGGGCUCAACCUUGGAACUGCCUUCAAAAAUCCUGGUCUGGAGUUCGAGAGAGGUGAGUGGAAUUCCGAGUGUAGAGGUGAAAUUCGUAGAUAUUCGGAGGAACACCAGUGGCGAAGGCGGCUCACUGGCUCGAUACUGACGCUGAGGUGCGAAAGCGUGGGGAGCAAACAGGAUUAGAAACCCGAGUAGUCC
rnacentral:rRNA from 1 species